UUCCAGACUCCUACGGGAGGCAGCAGUGGGGAAUAUUGCACAAUGGGGGAAACCCUGAUGCAGCGACGCCGCGUGAAGGAUGAAGUAUUUCGGUAUGUAAACUUCUAUCAGCAGGGAAGAAAAUGACGGUACCUGACUAAGAAGCCCCGGCUAACUACGUGCCAGCAGCCGCGGUAAUACGUAGGGGGCAAGCGUUAUCCGGAUUUACUGGGUGUAAAGGGAGCGUAGACGGCAUGGCAAGUCUGAUGUGAAAACCCGGGGCUCAACCCCGGGACUGCAUUGGAAACUGUAUAGCUGGAGUGCAGGAGAGGUAAGUGGAAUUCCUAGUGUAGCGGUGAAAUGCGUAGAUGUUAGGAGGAACACCAGUGGCGAAGGCGGCUUACUGGACUGUAACUGACGUUGAGUCUCGAAAGCGUGGGGAGCAAACAGGAUUAGAUACCCCCGUA
rnacentral:rRNA from 1 species